UGACACCUUUGAUUUUCGCGCAAUCAGC
rnacentral:sRNA from 1 species